ACGGUCCUAAGGUAGCGAAAUUCCUUGUCGGGUAAGUUCCGACCCGCACGAAUGGCGUAACAAUUGGAGCACUGUCUCAACGAGGGACCCGGUGAAAUUGAAGUACGUGUAAAGAUGCACGUUACCCGCAGCAGGACAAAAAGACCCCGUGGAGCUUUACUGUAUCCUGGCAUUGUGUUUGGAUAUGGUCUGUGUAGGAUAGGUGGGAGGCUUUGAAGCUGGCGCGCUAGCGUCGGUGGAGCCAUCAGUGAAAUACCACCCUGAUUAUAUCUAGGCCCUAACCUCACACCAUUAUCUGGGUGGGGGACCGUGUCAGGUGGGCAGUUUGACUGGGGUGGUCGCCUCCUAAAGAGUAACGGAGGCGCCCAAAGGUUCCCUCAGGCUGAAUGGCAACCAGCCGGAGAGUGUAAAGGCACAAGGGAGCUUGACUGUGAGACCAACGCGUCGAGCAGAUACGAAAGUAGGGCUUAGUGAUCCCACGGUACCGAGUGGAAGGGCCGUGGCUUACCGGAUAAAAGCUACCCCGGGGAUAACAGGCUAGUCUGGUCCAAGAGUCCACAUCGACGACCAGGCUCGGCACCUCGAUGUCGGCUCAUCGCAUCCUGGGGCUGGAUAAGGUCCCAAGGGUUGGGCUGUUCGCCCAUUAAAGCGGUACGCGAGCUGGGUUCAGACCGUCGUGAGACAGGUCGGUCUCUAUCCGCUGUGGGCGUAAGGGAUUUGAGAGGAGCUGCCCCUAGUACGAGAGGACCGGGGUGGACAGACCUCUGGUGUGCCAGUUGUUCCGCCAGGAGCAUCGCUGGGUAGCCACGUCUGGCAGGGAUAACCGCUGAAAGCAUCUAAGCGGGAAGCUCGCCUCAAGAUAAGAUCCCUCACCAGGAUAACUGGGUAAGACCGCAGGAAGACUACCUGCUAGAUAGGCAGCAAGUGUAAGUGCAGUAAUGCAUUCAGCUAAGCUGUACUAAUGGUCGAGGGCUUAACUUCG
rnacentral:rRNA from 1 species